CGGGAUGCAGUCAGGCAGUGCCACCUCACGCCUGCAGAGGGCGCAGGCGAGACGCUGAGGGACACCGGAGUUUCUGAGCCAAACCUGCGACGAGAGAGAGAGAGAGAGAGAGAGAGAAAAGAAAAGAAGAAAAAAUACAAUUUAGGGCCAACUUGUCAACCUCCACAGAAAAACCUUCCAAAUUUGUAUCAGGAUUUCAGAUUCCCGUUGGGGAAAUCAAUCUGAGGAGACUCUGCGGCUUUACAUGAUUGUGUCUUUUCUACUAUGAACAUGAGCAUCAACAAUGCCAGAAGAGAGGCAAACACGAGGUUCUUAGAAGGCUGUGCUCCAAAGUCAUGGCCUGGUUUCUAACUGCGGUAAUAAAGCAUGCUUACAUUGGCCAAGUUGAAAUCACUGAUGAUCACAGAGCUAGGAAAACUGCUGUGAACCUCACAGGCAGGUUAAAUAAGUGUGGAGUGAUCAGCCCCAGAUUUAAUGUGCAACUCAAAGAUCUAGAAAAAUAGCAGAAUAAUUUGCUCCCAUCCAGCUAAUUUGGUUUCAUUGUACUGACAACCUCAGCUGGCAUCAUGGACCACAAAGAAGCAAGACGAAAACACACCGGAGGGAAAACCCUGGGAUUCUUUUUCUAAAAAUGUAAUACACAUUUGCAGAUAAAAUUCCUACAAUUAAAAAAAAAAUAAAAAGAACAGAUCACCAGAUCACCAUUUCCCCUCUUCAUGCCUUCUUCAGCAGACACAGCAAAUGAAUGCGCUCUUUUCACAUUGAACCUGGGGACUGCUUCUCAAUAUUGAGCCAAGGCUGCAUUAUGACUUUCAUGGAUCCUAGGGUUUUUG